AUGUCUUAUCUAAUGUCUUGUAAGUAUUUAUUCUCUUUAUAUUAGUGGAUUAUGUUCUAUUUGGUUAAUCUGAGUUUAUGUUGAAAUGUUAAAUGUUAAUUAUGUGUAUGUGUAUGUAUUUGGAAGUUUGUGAAAUGAGGAAUGAUCUGAUAAGCUAGAACUGUUGCUAACUUGAAUUCAUUAAAUUAUUAUCUGCAUAAUUUGUAAUAUUUAUGCUGAUACGUUUUUAUGAGAUUAUAAAUUUCUGUGCAUACGUUCUUAUGUUAUCUCUUAAUUUAUUGAUUAAAAUCUCCUAAAUCACUACUAUAAAUCUAAACAAUUCUUAGAUUUAUAUAAACUGUUUUGAUAUUUUCCUUUGUAAUUUAUUAUCCUUUGUAAUUUAAUUGUUAUAUUAUCCUUUGUAAUUUAAUUAUGAUAUUAUCCUUUGUAAUUUAAUUGUUAUCUCUUAAUUUAUUGAUUAUAAUCCCCUAAAUCACUACUAUAAAUCUAAACAGUUUUUUUUGAUUUAUAUCAACUGUUUUGAUAUUAUCCUUUGUAAUUUAAUUGUUAUCUCUUAACUUAUUGAUUAUAAUCCCCUAAAUCACUACUAUAAAUCUAAACAGUUUUUAUAUUUAUAUCAACUAUUUUGAUAUUAUCCUUUGUAAUUUACAUGACGACUAGGUACGAUUUUGUUGAUGACAUCAGCCUUGUCAAAGAGACGUGGAAGAUUAAAGUCAGGAUAACUCGACUCUGGAAUAUGCCAAGCUUCAACAAAGCAGACUACAUAAACAGCAUCGAGAUGGUAUUGUUGGAUGAAAGGUAUAUAUAUAUACACACACAUACACAAACACAUAUAUACGCAACUCCUAAUUACAACAUCUUACCAUAUGCAUAUUAUACUUUUAUAGAAAACCAAAAUACAAGCGAAUAUCAAAAGGUCUCUUUUUACAAAAUUUCAAACAUCAGUCAAGGAACAACAAGUCUUUAUAAUCACCAAUUGAAAAGUAUCUUAAUUCUGGUAAUUAUAUGCACCCUUCUUUCCCUUUUUCUUUGGAUUUUGAUAUUGUGUAUGAAUGGGUCUCCAAUCCUCUAAUCUCUGUUUGUUCAUUUAUUUUCUUUUAUUACCUUAAAAAUCAAUUUAUUUGCUUGAAAGUGUUUGUUUCAUAGUGUUUGUUUGAAAGUGUUAAUACUAGUGUAUGACAGAAUUGUUUGUUUUGUUUAAUUUUAAUAUUUCAGAUCUCAAUGGCCUAAAUGUUCGUAUUAAUUUCUUCGUCUCUGUUUCUGUUCCCUUUACAAGUUUCUACAAAUUGACUUGCCAAAAUGAAAGUUUCCACAAAUUGUUGCAUACUAGCGAUGCAAUCCGUCGACUUGGCAUAUACCACCGGGAAACAAUAUAGUUCAAUCGAUUUCCUAGCUUGCGAAUUGAAACUUGGCCCUCUUUACCAGGUAUUUUUAUUUUUUGGUGAUGUUAUUGUUGAAAAACAGUCUUGUAGAUGACCCAAAAAUUGAUUACUUUUGUUCAUUUCACCAACCCUUUUUUGGGCUUUUCAAGAAAUUGCUUCCUCAUUGCUUGCCUUACUGUUUCUUUUGUGGGUCCUUUUUAUUAUAGUUUAUUAACUCUUACCCCCUUUUGUUAUUACUUUAAGCUAUCUAUCUUUUUACUUGAUUUUGUUUUUGAG
rnacentral:lncRNA from 1 species